rnacentral:rRNA from 1 species
UACAGAGGUGGCAAGCGUUGUUCGGAAUUACUGGGCGUAAAGGGCUCGUAGGCGGCUAACUAAGUCGGACGUGAAAUCCCCAGGCUCAACCUGGGAACUGCGUCCGAUACUGGAUGGCUUGAAUCCGGGAGAGGGAUGCAGAAUUCCAGGUGUAGCGGUGAAAUGCGUAGAUAUCUGGAGGAAUACCGGUGGCGAAGGCGGCAUCCUGGACCGACACUGACGCUGAGGAGCGAAAGCCAGGGGAGCAAACGGG